AACGUAGGUCACAAGCGUUGUCCGGAAUUACUGGGUGUAAAGGGAGCGCAGGCGGGGAGAUAAGUUGGAAGUGAAAUCUAUGGGCUCAACCCAUAAACUGCUUUCAAAACUGUUUUUCUUGAGUAGUGCAGAGGUAGGCGGAAUUCCCGGUGUAGCGGUGGAAUGCGUAGAUAUCGGGAGGAACACCAGUGGCGAAGGCGGCCUACUGGGCACCAACUGACGCUGAGGCUCGAAAGUGUGGGUAGCAAACAGG
rnacentral:rRNA from 1 species